CCUACGGGAGGCAGCAGUGGGGAAUAUUGCACAAUGGGGGGAACCCUGAUGCAGCGACGCCGCGUGAGUGAAGAAGUAUUUCGGUAUGUAAAGCUCUAUCAGCAGGGAAGACAAUGACGGUACCUGACUAAGAAGCCCCGGCUAACUACGUGCCAGCAGCCGCGGUAAUACGUAGGGGGGAAGCGUUAUCCGGAUUUACUGGGUGUAAAGGGGGCGCAGACGGGUGUGCAAGUCUGGAGGGAAAGGCGGGGGCACAACCCCCGGACUGAUCGGGAAACUGUAAAGCUGGAGUGCAGGAGAGGUAAGCGGAAUUCCUAGUGGAGCGGUGAAAUGCGUAGAUAUUAGGAGGAACACCAGUGGCGAAGGCGGCUUACUGGACUGCAACUGACGUUGAGGCUCGAAAGCGUGGGGAGCAAACAGGAUUAGAUACCCUUGUAGUC
rnacentral:rRNA from 1 species